rnacentral:lncRNA from 1 species
GGAGACGCUCAGUGGGCCUUACUCCUAACCCAAGGCUGGGAUGCUGUGCCCUCCUUUCUUCAAUCAAGAGCCUGAAGGAAACUUGAGAGCAGGGCCAUGUCUGGCUCACUUCUGUGUCCCAAUAUGACCCAGAUGGAGAAAGCAGGGCUCAGAGACCCAAGGCCUGGCUCAAGGUCACAGAGCAUGGCCAGAGCCAAUCAGACCCACCUGGACCAACUCCCUCUCCCCACUGACAGAGAUGCUCUAAAAGUGUGAAUCCAAGGGCAGGGGCUUUAGUUGUGCAGCCCUAAAGUUGAUAAAGGUGGCCAGUCCCAGAACUAGAGAAGAGAAGACUGGGUUGAAAACAAGAGCUGUCAUGUGAAUAAGACUAAACCAGCUUGCUGAAGGAUGAAAAACCAUGAGGAAGAGACCCAAGUCAGCCCAAUUCUCCCCGCUGAAGCCACCUCAGACCAGCCAUACCCCAGCCGACCCACUGAUUGCAGAUUUGUGAAUCAGCCCAGCAAAGAUCAGCCAAGCUGAGCCCAGAACUGCCAAACUACCCAGCCAAUCUGCAAACUUGUGAGCUAAAUAAAUGCUUUACAUAAUUAAGU